rnacentral:rRNA from 1 species
UACGAAGGGAGCUAGCGUUGUUCGGAAUCACUGGGCGUAAAGCGCACGUAGGCGGACGUGUCAGUCAGGGGUGAAAUCCCGGAGCUCAACUUCGGAACUGCCUUUGAUACAGCACGUCUUGAGUCCGGAAGAGGUGGGUGGAAUUCCUAGUGUAGAGGUGAAAUUCGUAGAUAUUAGGAAGAACACCGGUGGCGAAGGCGGCCCACUGGGCCGGUACUGACGCUGAGGUGCGAAAGCGUGGGGAGCAAACAGG